GGAUGUGAGGGCAAUCUGGCUGUAAAACGUCACCUCAUUGAUGGCCAGGGAUGAUUCAGCUGGUUUGGAUGGCUAGGUGGGUGACCCCUUCUUCCCUCAAUGCUCGAGAUGGAUCCCUCCUGAAGCUACAUGCUCAGUCAAAGUGGAGUACCACCCUCAAUAGAGGAGGAUUGUUUCUCGGUCAAGGGUGUACGAGUAGCUGCACUCCUCUGCUAGAAUCUCCAAAGCAAGGUCUCAAAAUAAACCUCUUCUCCUUUAAGUUGCAGUGUUGGGUAUGUUGUCGCAGAGAUGAGAAAAUAACUGAGGCAGUGAAGGAAGCAGCUGUCGUUGGCCAUAUGC
rnacentral:snRNA from 1 species